rnacentral:rRNA from 1 species
UUGCGCAAUGGGGGGAACCCUGACGCAGCGACGCCGCGUGCGGGACGGAGGCCUUCGGGUCGUAAACCGCUUUCAGCAGGGAAGAGUCAAGACUGUACCUGCAGAAGAAGCCCCGGCUAACUACGUGCCAGCAGCCGCGGUAAUACGUAGGGGGCGAGCGUUAUCCGGAUUCAUUGGGCGUAAAGCGCGCGUAGGCGGCCCGGCAGGCCGGGGGUCGAAGCGGGGGGCUCAACCCCCCGAAGCCCCCGGAACCUCCGCGGCUUGGGUCCGGUAGGGGAGGGUGGAACACCCGGUGUAGCGGUGGAAUGCGCAGAUAUCGGGUGGAACACCGGUGGCGAAGGCGGCCCUCUGGGCCGAGACCGACGCUGAGGCGCGAAAGCUGGGGGAGCGAACAGGAUUAGAUACCCUGGUAGUCCCAGCCGUAAACGAUGGACGCUAGGUGUGGGGGGACGAUCCCCCCGUGCCGCAGCCAACGCAUUAAGCGUCCCGCCUGGGGAGUACGGCCGCAAGGCUAAAACUCAAAGGAAUUGACGGGGGCCCGCACAAGCAGCGGAGCAUGUGGCUUAAUUCGAAGCAACGCGAAGAACCUUACCAGGGCUUGACAUAUGGGUGAAGCGGGGGAGACCCCGUGGCCGAGAGGAGCCCAUACAGGUGGUGCAUGGCUGUCGUCAGCUCGUGUCGUGAGAUGUUGGGUUAAGUCCCGCAACGAGCGCAACCCCCGCCGCGUGUUGCCAUCGGGUGAUGCCGGGAACCCACGCGGGACCGCCGCCGUCAAGGCGGAGGAGGGCGGGGACGACGUCAAGUCAUCAUGCCCCUUAUGCCCUGGGCUGCACACGUGCUACAAUGGCCGGUACAGAGGGAUGCCACCCCGCGAGGGGGAGCGGAUCCCGGAAAGCCGGCCCCAGUUCGGAUUGGGGGCUGCAACCCGCCCCCAUGAAGUCGGAGUUGCUAGUAAUCGCGGAUCAGCAUGCCGCGGUGAAUGCGUUCCCGGGCCUUGUACACACCGCCCGUCACACCACCCGAGUCGUCUGCACCCGAAGUCGCCGGCCCAACCGAGAGGGGGGAGGCGCCGAAGGUGUGGAAGGUGCGGCUGGAUCACCUCCU